CCAGAAUGGAGAUACCUGAUCAUCAGAGGCUGGAGGAAAGCAGGUUCCUCAAAAAACAAACAACAACAAAAAAACAACAAAACAUGAAGAAGCCAAAUCUGGAGGAUGAGUUUUCCAAAUUAAACACUGAAUAUUGUUGUAGAGUAAAAUGAUACUGUUUGUAAAGAGAUGUUUUUACUAGACAUCCUCUUCCUAGCCACCUAUUAAGGAAUAACUAGAAUAUAUAUUAACAGCAAGACAUCGGAAAUUAUCUUUGCACCUGACAAAAUGUUAAGAUUCAGAAUUUGGCUGGAUGCUCCUAAAGAGCUACUGAAAUAGACUCAAUGGCAGCUACGAUGCCCAACAGAAGCAGCGAUGCCUGGUGCACAUAGCAGGUUGCUAGCAGGAGUCAUCUGGGGUGAUUCACCUGUCUUGUUGGUGAGGAUAUGGACAUCAUCUGGGGACUCUCAGAAAUCCCUGAAGUGAUAUAGAGUCCCACAUGAGCUUGCCUGUGGUGUUUUACAAACCAAUAACGUAGUGUUCAUAAACCAAAGUCACUUGGAGGUAAGUAGCUGCUACAGUAGAUUGUAAGCAUCAGAACUGUUUUAUAUAUCAUAUAAUUCCCAUGUGCUUAUCACUAUUCAAAACAUUAAUAUCCACAGCAGCUAUACCCAGCCUAGUAGCUCACAGAUCAGCCUAUAAUGAAAUUUUCAGUAUUGCAAAGUAAUAAUAUUAAUACAAGAGUACCCAAGUAAAAAUUAUCUUUUUGUGCAAGCAGAAAUUCAACUCUUGAGAAUUAGUUCCUUGCCUUAAAGUUUAAACAAUUUUAAAAUCGUCACAAGCUUAAACACAAACAACCACACAGGGCUCCAAAAGAAGAGUCUUUUUUUUUUUAAAUGGUGACUCAGCCUGACUUUUGUGACUAAUUAAGCACAAAUUUCACCAAGCAGAACACACUUAUGCUUUUAAGUCUGGGCUGGAGAGGGACCAUUUUUUUGCAAACAAUUGCUCCUGUCACAACAAUAAGAAUUUCAAUAUAGAGUGAAUUUUGUAGUCACUAUUAUUUUAAGUAUUCUCCCAUCCCCACCGAAAGUGGGUCAUUGAAAUAAUGACCAGAUGAAAAUUAUAGGAAUAACUAUUCCUAUACCAUUUGACCACAUUUCUACUGACAUACAAAUAAGCUAAUACCUACAUCUAUAAUGCACAAGAUUUCUCUUUUCCUUCCUUGUUCCCCUGAUUUUUUCCUUCAGUCUUCCCUCCCUUCAUCUCCUGUACCCCAACCAAUAGCCUCUCUCACCUUAACUCUUAAAUCUUCUCCUGCUCACAAACACCACCAAAAAAAAAAAAAAAGAAAAAAAAAAGAUGCACUAGCAGAGGAUCCAUUACUAAGUCCAGAGCAGAAGUUCCCAGAUUAUCAACCCACUCACAGAGGUUAAACUCCAGCAGCUGGGAGGGGGAGAAAAUGACACUUGGCUUUCUGUUUCUGUAGCAUCCUUGCCCCUAGUGCUCUCUGUACAGGAAAGGCCAAGAUCUCACAAGGUAGGAAGUUGUUUCCUUGCUGAAACAGCAUGAAUGUUUAUGGGUCAUUAAUCUUUGAGAAAUGGUUGACAUUUCCUAUCCUCCAGCAGUAGGUAUCCAGCAAGAAUUAUUUAAAUUCAUUCAAUUUUUUAAACUGCACCUACAACAUUCCAGGCAUUGUCAAGUUCUACGUAAAGACAUUGAUGAACAAGACAUAGAGAUCCCGGUCCUGAAGAAACUUACAGCCUGACCAUGACAAAAGGGCCUACUCUCAAAUAUCUAUAAUGUUGACUGGCACAAUCUAGUAUUUUCCUUCACUUGUUCAUGUCAAUAAAGGAAAAUAAAAAGUCUCAGGACCCCCGAAAUCCUCAUGCAAAAGGGAAGGUUAAGCCUGGAAGCUGUCAGGCAACAUCUUCUUCCAAAUGCACGGCUGUUAGGAGCAUUAUGCAUUAGCCAGGUUCCCGGGAAAUGUUGAAAGGCAACAGGCAUGUAGGAAGGGCUGUCCCAUGACUCAUUCAUAGCAGUUGUAACUGUAGCUCUGCAAAUGUAAGUCUAGCCCCUAAAACUAAAGUCUGUUGGGUUCCACACUGAUAAUGUCGAUUACAAGCUUAUCUUCUCAAGUGCAGAAUAAAGGCAAGAGGUGAUCAGUCAUUCCUCCAUCUACCAGAGAAGUCUGCAUAAUUGACUCUUCCUUUACUCUCUUUUUCUCUUCAAACACACACCUUAUGUUAUGUAAAAUGCAGAGGUACUGGUCAGGAACUAAAGUCUCACAGGAAUGUAACAAUUUGCCUUGCAAUCUACCUGCCCCUCUUCCUACAUGCCUUUCCCUUCUUUAAGGAAAUGUAUAAAUACUAAACCUCCCUAAAACUUCUUCAGAAAAAUGGCCAUAGAUGCAUCUGUGGAAUGUGUUUUGCCCAGACAAGCCCUAAAGCUGGCUUAAUAAAACUUGAUUGAUUGAGAUUGUUUUUCCUCAGUUAAUGAUACUUCGAUAUCUUUUGUCUAGACCCAGUUAUAGUCUGCAAUUUAG
rnacentral:lncRNA from 10 species